rnacentral:ncRNA from 13 species
GCAAGGGUAGGAAAGUCUGGUUAAAUCCGUGUGACUUAAGAUCUCAUCCAUUCGGUUCGCGAGUUCGAAUCUCGCCUCUUGCA